AGUGGCGCACGGGUGCGUAACACGUAUGCAACCUACCUUAUAGACGGGGAUAGCCCGAAGAAAUUCGGAUUAACACCGCAUAAAAACACAGCUUGGCAUCAAGCAAUGUUCAAAUAUUUAUAGGAUGAAGAUGGGCAUGCGUGUCAUUAGCUAGUUGGUAAGGUAACGGCUUACCAAGGCUACGAUGACUAGGGGAUCUGAGAGGAUGACCCCCCACACUGGUACUGAGACACGGACCAGACUCCUACGGGAGGCAGCAGUAAGGAAUAUUGGUCAAUGGAGGCAACUCUGAACCAGCCAUGCCGCGUGCAGGAAGACUGCCUUAUGGGUUGUAAACUGCUUUUAUACGGGAAUAAACCUUAAUUCGUGAAUUAAGCUGAAUGUACCGUAAGAAUAAGGAUCGGCUAACUCCGUGCCAGCAGCCGCGGUAAUACGGAGGAUCCAAGCGUUAUCCGGAUUUAUUGGGUUUAAAGGGAGCGUAGGCGGCUUGUUAAGUCAGGGGUGAAAGACGGUGGCUCAACCAUCGCAGUGCCUUUGAUACUGACGAGCUUGAAUAUAGUUGAGGUAGGCGGAAUGUGACAAGUAGCGGUGAAAUGCAUAGAUAUGUCACAGAACACCGAUUGCGAAGGCAGCUUACUAAGCUAUUAUUGACGCUGAGGCUCGAAAGCGUGGGGAUCAAACAGGAUUAGAUACCCUGGUAGUCCACGCCCUAAACGAUGAUAACUCGAUGUUGGCGAUAUACAGUCAGCGUCCAAGCGAAAGCGUUAAGUUAUCCACCUGGGGAGUACGCCCGCAAGGGUGAAACUCAAAGGAAUGANGGGGCCCGCACAGCGAGAGCAUGUGGUUUAAUCGAUGAUACGCGAG
rnacentral:rRNA from 1 species